rnacentral:ncRNA from 1 species
CCUCUAGGAAUUAAAGGAUAUAUAAAGGCCGGAAAAACUCACCUGGCCCGGACAAUGUGAGGAUUGAAAGAUUGAAAGCUCUUUCUUGAUUCGGUGGAUGGUGGUGCAUGGCCGUUCUUAGUUGGCGGAUCGAUUUGUCUGGUUAAUUCCGGUAACGAACGAGACUUUAACCCACUAAAUAGUAGAUUGGUCUUCUGUGCUCGUUCAGGGCGCGGCUUCUAUUGCUUCUUUAUGGAGUAGUGUGGUCGUGAUCCGGCAGGUACGGUGCCAGUUUUUACUUCUUAGAGGGACAGACGGCACGUCGAAGUUGUACGAAAUUGAGCAACAACAGGUCUGUGAUAUUCUUAGAUGUCCGGGAACCUGACCCGAAAGGGUUGGGCAAACUGUUUCAUCACCAUCAUGACGAGGAUCGGGGUUUGCAAUUAUUUCCCGUGAACGAGGAAUUCCUGGAAAGUGCAAGUCAUAAGCUUGCGCUGAUUACGUCCC